rnacentral:siRNA from 1 species
AGGGUAGCUCCAUAAACAUACUGC